GACGAACGCUGGCGUCGUGCUUACACAUGCAAGUCGAACGGAAAGGCCCUGCUUUUGUGGGGUGCUCGAGUGGCGAACGGGUGAGUAACACGUGAGUAACCUGCCCUUGACUUUGGGAUAACUUCAGGAAACUGGGGCUAAUACCGGAUAGGAGCUCCUGCUGCAUGGUGGGGGUUGGAAAGUUUCGGCGGUUGGGGAUGGACUCGCGGCUUAUCAGCUUGUUGGUGGGGUAGUGGCUUACCAAGGCUUUGACGGGUAGCCGGCCUGAGAGGGUGACCGGCCACAUUGGGACUGAGAUACGGCCCAGACUCCUACGGGAGGCAGCAGUGGGGAAUAUUGCACAAUGGGCGGAAGCCUGAUGCAGCAACGCCGCGUGCGGGAUGACGGCCUUCGGGUUGUAAACCGCUUUCGCCUGUGACGAAGCGUGAGUGACGGUAAUGGGUAAAGAAGCACCGGCUAACUACGUGCCAGCAGCCGCGGUGAUACGUAGGGUGCGAGCGUUGUCCGGAUUUAUUGGGCGUAAAGGGCUCGUAGGUGGUUGAUCGCGUCGGAAGUGUAAUCUUGGGGCUUAACCCUGAGCGUGCUUUCGAUACGGGUUGACUUGAGGAAGGUAGGGGAGAAUGGAAUUCCUGGUGGAGCGGUGGAAUGCGCAGAUAUCAGGAGGAACACCAGUGGCGAAGGCGGUUCUCUGGGCCUUUCCUGACGCUGAGGAGCGAAAGCGUGGGGAGCGAACAGGCUUAGAUACCCUGGUAGUCCACGCUGUAAACGGUGGGUACUAGGUGUGGGGUCCAUUCCACGGGUUCCGUGCCGUAGCUAACGCUUUAAGUACCCCGCCUGGGGAGUACGGCCGCAAGGCUAAAGCUCAAAGGAAUUGACGGGGCCCCGCACAAGCGGCGGAGCAUGCGGAUUAGUUCGAUGCAACGCGUAGAACCUUACCUGGGUUUGACAUGGAUCGGGAGUGCUCAGAGAUGGGUGUGCCUCUUUUGGGGUCGGUUCACAGGUGGUGCAUGCCUGUCGUCAGCUCGUGUCGUGAGAUGUUGGGUUAAGUCCCGCAACGAGCGCAACCCUUGUUCACUGUUGCCAGCACGUUAUGGUGGGGACUCAGUGGAGACCGCCGGGGUCAACUCGGAGGAAGGUGGGGAUGACGUCAAGUCAUCAUGCCCCUUAUGUCCAGGGCUUCACGCAUGCUACAAUGGCUGGUACAGAGAGUGGCGAGCCUGUGAGGGUGAGCGAAUCUCGGAAAGCCGGUCUCAGUUCGGAUUGGGGUCUGCAACUCGACCUCAAGAAGUCGGAGUCGCUAGUAAUCGCAGAUCAGCAACGCUGCGGUGAAUACGUUCCCGGGGCU
rnacentral:rRNA from 1 species